rnacentral:rRNA from 1 species
GAUGAACGCUAGCGGCAGGCCUAACACAUGCAAGUCGAGGGGUAGAAUUAGCUUGCUAAUUUGAGACCGGCGCACGGGUGCGUAACGCGUAUGCAAUCUACCUUGUACCAGGGGGAUAGCCCAGAGAAAUUUGGAUUAAUACCCCAUGGUAUAAUUGAAUCGCAUGGUUUGAUUAUUAAAGUUCCAACGGUACAAGAUGAGCAUGCGUCCCAUUAGCUAGUUGGUGUGGUAACGGCAUACCAAGGCGACGAUGGGUAGGGGUCCUGAGAGGGAGAUCCCCCGANACCUGGUACUGAGACACGGACCAGACUCCUACGGGAGGCAGCAGUGAGGAAUAUUGGUCAAUGGUCGGAAGACUGAACCAGCCAUGCCGCGUGCAGGAAGACGGUCCUAUGGAUUGUAAACUGCUUUUUGUACGGGAAGAAACACUCCUUCGUGAAGGAGCUUGACGGUACCGUAAGAAUAAGGAUCGGCUAACUCCGUGCCAGCAGCCGCGGUAAAGUCG